UUAUUUUGUAUAGUUUAUGUGUGAGCUCUUUUAUCUUUGAAUGAAUUAUCAUUUGUAACUUCUUCAUACAUCUGCCAAGUUGACAUUAUUAUCUAAUAUAUUUUAAAAAUGUAGGAAAUUCCUGUUUAGCACACCCUGGUAUGGGGGAGUGGGUGCUUGAAGUCGGACAACGGUAGUUGAACCUUUUCGAACAAAGACUUGACCUGUGUAUGUAGCAUAAGAAGGAUGUGAUAACAACUAGUGAAGAAAAGGAUUAUGGGUAUUGGAUAAUAAUUCCAGUGCUGGAAUUUGCUUGCAUAGACUCUUGGUGAAUUUUACAUGGAGUUGGUUGACACAAUCUAUGUUCUAAUGUAAAGGAGUUCUGCCCCACCCGUGAAUUGGACUUGUUAAGAAAAAAUGGAUCAUAUGGAGGAUGUUCUCUCCAACAGUUGUUCCACCGUAAGAAAUUGAUUUCCUGAACAGCUACAUAAUCUGUGCGGCAAUGAAGUAACAUAUUUGCUACAAGCUAUAAUAACAUGGUUGCUGCAAAGUCUGCAGUCUGCACAUUUCUUGUUACAGUUAUACUACCAUAUACUUUUGCAAAGGUCAAACACAUUAUUUCAAAAAAAAUUACAUUGUUGUAUGUUCAGAAUUAAUUUCAAAAUAUAAUAUAUAGAGAAAAAUUAUUUGGAGUCC